UCUUCCGUAGUAUAGUGGUCAGUAUGCAAGCUUGUCACGCUUGAGACCCGGGUUCAAUUCCCGGCGGGGGAG
rnacentral:tRNA from 1 species